rnacentral:tRNA from 1 species
AAAACUGAAGUAACUCUUACGUUUGGCUUCGGCCCAAAUCAUGGCCAAAGCCCUGUUUUA